rnacentral:lncRNA from 1 species
AAAAAAAAAUUCAUAGGUCCUCGGCCAAUAGGAUAAAAGUUUUACCAGUUUCAUGCAAUGUUAGGGGCGAAAUAUUGAAGUUUUCUGUUAUGUUAAUGGCUAUGGCAGGAAUAUAGUUGGUAACUAUGGACUAUAAUCAACAAAAGGAAACAGUAUGGGGUGUAUGUAACAAAUACGAUGUAUUAUCAACCAUGAGGAGCAAAAGGAAAGAACUCAGAAGACAACAUUGAGAUGGAAGAUGAUCGGGCUUCUCUUCCUCCAACAAGCCUUGUUUAGUUCUAAUGAAGGCUCGCUCUCUAAGCUGUAAGGCAUCGACAAAAGGUAUUCACCCGAUCCUAGCUAUUCCUUCGAAAAGAUAAGUAAUUAACUAUAUGUCGGCUCAUUCAAUUUCACAUGGAAAUUGCUUUUGCUUGAUUAAUUAUGUCGUAUUGUUAGGUACUGAAAUUGAGCUUUGCCAUGACUUUUUUUUUCUUGAAUAUAAAAAUCAUAAUCAUGCUUGUGUUUUGCAAUUUGCUGUGUUAGUUGACGGCAAAAUCAAUAGGG